rnacentral:rRNA from 1 species
UACGUAGGGGGCAAGCGUUAUCCGGAUUUACUGGGUGUAAAGGGAGCGUAGACGGCUUUGCAAGCCAGAUGUGAAAGCCCGGAGCUCAACCCCGGGACUGCAUUUGGAACUGUAUAGCUGGAGUGUCGGAGAGGCAGGCGGAAUUCCUAGUGUAGCGGUGAAAUGCGUAGAUAUUAGGAGGAACACCAGUGGCGAAGGCGGCCUGCUGGACGAUGACUGACGUUGAGGCUCGAAAGCGUGGGGAGCAAACAGG